CCCAUUGCCCCCUCGCCCACAUGGUCCGUCCCCACCUCAUCCUCCAGCCUCUGCAGAGUGGACUCUCACAGCCGGGACCUCCCCGCGGCCACGCAUCCACCUGCCCAUGGGCCCAGAGGCAGAACCGGGCACCCCCUUUCCUGCCGCUCUCCUGUGCCACCCGGGCCAUGGUCCGGGGGCACCCUCACCACCUCUGCCUGCCCAGCGUCCUCAGCCUGCACAGACGGAUCCUUCCAGGAGCGCCCUCUGUGGACAGCAGCGGCACUGCCCCCUCACAAGAGGGGCCUCCCCAGAAGCUGGGUCCACAGCUCUAAGUGCGGGUGGCCGGGGGUCCUGCAGCACCCACUCAGGGUCCCCCAAACUCAGGCUUGGGCCCGGGGCUGGCUCUGGACGCCUGUCACCAUUCAGGGGCAGCAGCGGCUGUUCCCCACCCCGGCUCCAGACUCUAACGCCUGCAACAGCGCUCCUGAUGAGGUCGCCACAAAACCUCUGCUUCUGAGCACAGACCACCCGGAGAGGCUGUAGCAGCGUGGGAAGAAGGUGUCGGGGUUGGCCUGGACGUACCACGGCAGGCUCCGCAUGCUCACACACAGCCCGAUCUCCGGAGACAGUGGCACGUCAGGCCCGCAGGCUGCACCAGGCCCGCUCGGC